GAGGGCAUAGCUCAGUGGUAGAGCGCUUGCUUAGCAUGCAUGAGGUCCUGGGUUCAAUCCCCAGUACCUCCU
rnacentral:tRNA from 1 species